rnacentral:antisense_RNA from 1 species
UGCUGACAACGUGCUUUACUUAAUGUUAAACAAAUUAAACCACGGCCAUACAUUGCCAUAAAAUUAAUAGCUUCAGGGGUAAUUUUCUCUGAUGCAAUAAU